rnacentral:rRNA from 1 species
GUACUUUUCAUUACACCCCAAUAAAGUUUAAUGAAUGUCAUAAAUAAUUGGACUUGCCUUAAAAAGCAUUUCCUUUAAUUAAGAAACUAUACAACUUUCAACAACGGAUCUCUUGGCUCUCGCAUCGAUGAAGAACGCAGCGAAAUGCGAUAAGUAAUGUGAAUUGCAGAAUUCAGUGAAUCAUCGAAUCUUUGAACGCACCUUGCGCCCUUUGGUAUUCCGAAGGGCAUGCCUGUUUGAGUGUCAUUAAAUUAUCAACUUGAAAAACUUUGUGUUUUCCAAGCUUGGACUUGGAGUGUGCCGGCCCCAUUUUGGAGUCAGCUCCUCUUUAAAUGCAUUAGUUGAACCUUUAAUUGUGGACCAGCUCCAGCGUGAUAAUUAUCUACGUUGCAGCGGCGAAGCAGUUUAAUUUUGGAGGUUUUGCUUACAACCGUUGCGCCUCUGUGCAACAGGGCUUACCCCCUAUUAUGACAAUUUGACCUCAAAUCAGGUAGGAUUACCCGCUGAACUUAA